AAACGUAGGGUGCAAGCGUUGUCCGGAAUUACUGGGUUUAAAGGGAGCGUAGGUUGACGUAUAAGUCAGCUGUGAAAGUUUACGGCUCAACCGUGAAAUUGCAGUUAAUACUGUAUGUCUUGAGUGUACAAGAGGUGGGCGGAAUUCGUGGUGUAGCGGUGAAAUGCUUAGAUAUCACGAAGAACUCCAAUUGCGAAGGCAGCUCACUGGGGUACAACUGACACUGAGGCUCGAAAGUGUGGGUAUCAAACAGGAUUAGAUACCCUGGUAGUCCACACAGUAAACGAUGAAUACUCGCUGUUUGCGAUAUACAGUAAGCGGCCAAGCGAAAGCAUUAAGUAUUCCACCUGGGGAGUACGCCGGCAACGGUGAA
rnacentral:rRNA from 1 species